rnacentral:rRNA from 1 species
GGAUGCGAUCAUACCAGCACUAAAGCAUCGGAUCCCAUCAAAACUCCGAAGUUAAGCGUGCGUGGGCGAGAGUAGUACUAGGAUGCGUGACCUCCUGGGAAGUCCUCGUGUUGCAUUCC